UAUUUUUUGAGACAGCAUACACUUUGGUCUUUGGAGCAUCACACUUUAACACCUAUUCAUUUGAAUACAAAAGUAAUCAAGGAUUAUUUAUAAUAAAAUAUAUACAUAUAUAAAAUAAGGCACAUUAGCAUAUUCUUAACAUAUUGUUAGGAUCAUGGAUAUCCUUGCGUAAAAAAACCAAACAAUUUCUGUACAGUGUUCUGUACACAAAAGCAGCAACAUGUGCAUAAUUUUACAGGUGGGCCACACUGGAUUCUGGUUUCAGAAAGUGCUAGGAGUAUGUCAGACCAAAUAUAAGUUUGUAACGAUGCCUCUUCAAGCAUAAAGAUGAAGUUACAUUAAAGAGAGACUAUAGGCACCCAGAGCAUGUCAUCUUAUUGAAGGGGUAUGAGUACUGUUACUGUUCAAGAGGUGCUUCCUGGAGUUUCAUGGAGUUAGACUCUGUGAAACUAUGCUGGACAUCAUGAUUUGCAUGAGGAUGUUAAACGUGUUGAAAAAACACAUAGGUAAGCAUUGAAUCAAUAAAGUAUUCCCUAUGAGGAAGGACUAUUGCAAGCGUGGUGCUCACCUCAUUAUGUUUUCC